GGGGCGCUGGCGCAACGGUAGCGUGUGAGAUUCCAGUCAAAGGCUCAGAAGUUCAAUGUUCGAACGUUCCUUUGGGAGACUCCUCAAGGUUUUCGGUUCAAAUCCGGAGUGCCUCA